rnacentral:rRNA from 1 species
CCUACGGGAGGCAGCAGUGAGGAAUAUUGGUCAAUGGACGAGAGUCUGAACCAGCCAAGUAGCGUGAAGGAUGACUGCCCCAUGGGUUGUAAACUUCUUUUAUAUGGGAAUAAAAUGUUCCACGUGUGGGAUUUUGUAUGUACCAUAUGAAUAAGGAUCGGCUAACUCCGUGCCAGCAGCCGCGGUAAUACGGAGGAUCCGAGCGUUAUCCGGAUUUAUUGGGUUUAAAGGGAGCGUAGGUGGAUUGUUAAGUCAGUUGUGAAAGUUUGCGGCUCAACCGUAAAAUUGCAGUUGAAACUGGCAGUCUUGAGUACAGUAGAGGUGGGCGGAAUUCGUGGUGUAGCGGUGAAAUGCUUAGAUAUCACGAAGAACUCCGAUUGCGAAGGCAGUUCACUGGACUGCAACUGACACUGAGGCUCGAAAGUGUGGGUAUCAAACAGGAUUAGAUACCCGAGUAGUC